AAAAAGAGUAUUAUAAAGUUUUUAAAAGUUCUUCUGCCUGAGACAUAACUUUAUUGACAACUUGCAACGUUUUUUUAUUUUAUAUUUAUUGACUUUAUACAUGUUGUUUCAUGAUGCUUUGUAUUUCUCACUUGCAAGACGUUUACUUACAAAUAAAAUAGGGUAAAAUAUGAAAACUCUUUGAGCCUUGUCCAGCACAUCAUAGUGAUGAAAAAUUAGCUUCCCUGCCAGUCUCCCCCACAGCCUAUUCGUAACAGAGGAGCACUGUGUUCUUUUCAUUCUCUGAAAUCCAGCACUGCCAUGAAUAGGUGGGACAAAACUACAUUAAUUUUUGACCAAAGUAGCAAGCUAUUUAUUUUAGAAUUGCUGAACUAUAACUAUUUUAUUGCUAAUAAAAACCAGAGCGUUCUGGGUGAUGCCAGAGUAUGGUGGGCUAAAUCGGUGUUCUGAAGAGGCUGAGUAAAAAUGUUCAGAGAGAAAAAUGCCUGGUCCUUGUCAGAUUCAGAAGCAAUUCUAAAUAUGUUCUAAGCAGUCUGGGCAUUUGAUAAUGAAGAAAAACAACCAACAAAAUUCACAGAAGUCUGUGUAGCAAUGUUGAAAAAAGUGUUUAUGAAAACACUUGAUUUAGAUAUAACACCUGUUCUAAAAAUUUGUUUUUCUUAAUUGAAGUUUUAUUUACAUGCAUUGGUGCUAAAAAGUCUUUAUUAAAAUCAGAACUCUCAAAGUAUCACAAUAUUUUUAGUCAAUUAAAUAACUAUGCUGACACAUAAUUAUAUUCUCUACUCUUUACAUAAAUUAAUUUAAUGAUCACACUCUCUAUAAAUCUAGGAUAUUGUUAUCCCAAUUUUAUAUAUAAAGCACCUGAAGUUGGAGAGGGAUGACUCAAGAUCCCACAAAGAUUCCUCAAACCCACUUUUACUAACCACAGAGGAAAUCUGUUACAGGAUGCUCACAGGUGUGAUGGAGAUCUUCAAAACAGGAAUGGAAAGGCGAAAAUUAAGGGCAUCUGAGGACCAGGCUGCAAGAAGAACAAGGGCAGGCCUGAGGAGGCAGUGUCUCUCACACUGUGCGGACCCGCCUUCUGCAGCUGCUGCUCUCAGUUCUUCCCCAGAUGCGUCUGACGGUCCACAUUUAGUCCCACAUCCACCUUCAGCAAGAAGGGACACAAAGCACAAUUUCCUUCAGCUUUUGAGUUAGAG
rnacentral:lncRNA from 1 species